UCUAUGCCUAAUGUGUCAUUCAAUUGAGCAUAUGUUAUAUACAUUGUUGCAUGCAUUGUAGGGUAAAUGUGAUGAGAGUAAUGUGAUGUUGUAUAUUGUGAGUACAAUUUGCCUAAUGAGAUGGUUGAGAACUCCUAUGAAUGUUUAACCCUAUGUAUACAUGAGAUAAAAUGUAAGCACCAAGGUGAGGCAAAAGAACAGAGGACACAAUGAGACAUUGAUCGAGUGGCAUUCGAUAAUGUAAAGUAAAGUGACAGUAGAGUUAGUGUGAGGUAAAGAAUCAAUGUGAUGUAAAGAGUAAUGACAAUGACUAAGGUUAAUAUAAAGUGGGGCAUAAAGAACAUUGUAACAUACCAGAUUUUGGUAUAAAAAUAAAAAUAAAUAAAAAUAGUGUGAGAAACUAUUUUUAUUGGAUUUAUAGAAGUAAAACAUAAGUCAGAAGUGACUUGUGCUGAAAUCGGAAUGAAAACAGAAGAUUUAGAAUUUUCUGUUGGAAACGGGACAGAUAAAUUAGCAGAAAAUGCACAGUCUCAGAAAAUUAUGAAAAUUGGAGGAUAAGUCAGAAAUAUUUUUAUGAGGCUAGAUUUAAAGUUUCAUAUUUUUCUGACACCCGUAGAGUGAGAAAUAAAAUCCGAAAGCUAUCUGAUAAAGAUUGCAGUUCGGUACAGUUUUUAGUAACCAAACGGGGUCGAAACUGAACCAGUGAUCGUCAGCUUGUUAAGUUAAGUAAAACCGAAUAUGACUGUCAAGUUUGAGCUCAAACGGACACUCAGGGAGCUCCG
rnacentral:lncRNA from 1 species